UGAACGCUGGCGGUAGGCCUAACACAUGCAAGUAGAACGGCAGCACAGUAAGAGCUUGCUCUUACGGGUGGCGAGUGGCGGACGGGUGAGGAAUACAUCGGAAUCUACUUUUUCGUGGGGGAUAACGUAGGGAAACUUACGCUAAUACCGCAUACGACCUACGGGUGAAAGCAGGGGAUCUUCGGACCUUGCGCGAUUGAAUGAGCCGAUGUCGGAUUAGCUAGUUGGCGGGGUAAAGGCCCACCAAGGCGACGAUCCGUAGCUGGUCUGAGAGGAUGAUCAGCCACACUGGAACUGAGACACGGUCCAGACUCCUACGGGAGGCAGCAGUGGGGAAUAUUGGACAAUGGGCGCAAGCCUGAUCCAGCCAUACCGCGUGGGUGAAGAAGGCCUUCGGGUUGUAAAGCCCUUUUGUUGGGAAAGAAAAGCAGCAGGUUAAUACCCCGCUGUUCUGACGGUACCCAAAGAAUAAGCACCGGCUAACUUCGUG
rnacentral:rRNA from 1 species